AUUGAACGCUGGCGGCAGGCCUAACACAUGCAAGUCGAGCGAGCGGCGGACGGGUGAGUAAUGUCUGGGAAACUGCCUGAUGGAGGGGGAUAACUACUGGAAACGGUAGCUAAUACCGCAUACCAUCAGAUGUGCCCAGAUGGGAUUAGCUAGUAGGUGGGGUAAAGGCCUACAAAGGCAACGAUCCGUAACUGGUCUGAGAGGAUGAUCAGGCAGACUGGAACGUAGACACGGGCCAGACUCCGACGGGAGGCAGCAGUGGGGAAUAGUGGACAAUGGGCGAAAGCCUGAUCCAGCCAUGCCGCGUGUGUGAAGAAGGUCUUCGGAUUGUAAAGCACUUUAAGUUGGGAGGCGUUACCAACAGAAUAAGCACCGGCUAACUCCGUGCCAGCAGCCGCGGUAAUAC
rnacentral:rRNA from 1 species